UAGGGAAUAUUGCACAAUGGGGGAAACCCUGAUGCAGCAACGCCGCGUGAGUGAUGACGGCCUUCGGGUUGUAAAGCUCUGUCUUCAGGGACGAUAAUGACGGUACCUGAGGAGGAAGCCACGGCUAACUACGUGCCAGCAGCCGCGGUAAUACGUAGGUGGCGAGCGUUGUCCGGAUUUACUGGGCGUAAAGGGAGCGUAGGCGGACUUUUAAGUGAGAUGUGAAAUACCCGGGCUCAACUUGGGUGCUGCAUUUCAAACUGGAAGUCUAGAGUGCAGGAGAGGAGAAUGGAAUUCCUAGUGUAGCGGUGAAAUGCGUAGAGAUUAGGAAGAACACCAGUGGCGAAGGCGACUCUCUGGUCUGUAACUGACGCUGAGGAGCGAAAGCGUGGGGAGCGAACA
rnacentral:rRNA from 1 species